rnacentral:rRNA from 1 species
AACAAACGCUGGCGGCGUGCCUAAUACAUGCAAGUCGAACGGGGAAAGCUUUCGGGUGAGUACUAGUGGCGCACGGGUGAGUAACGCGUGGAUAAUCUGCCUUAGAGUGGGGGAUAACUAGUCGAAAGAUUAGCUAAUACCGCAUAAGACCACAAGAACUGCGGUUCAAGGGGUCAAAGGUUUUUCGCUCUAAGAUGAGUCCGCGUAAGAUUAGCUAGUUGGUAGGGUAACGGCCUACCAAGGCGACGAGCUUUAACUGGUCUGAGAGGAUGAUCAGUCACACUGGAACUGAGACACGGUCCAGACUCCUACGGGAGGCAGCAGUAGGGAAUAUUGCACAAUGGAGGAAACUCUGAUGCAGCGACGCCGCGUGAAUGAUGAAGGCCUUCGGGUCGUAAAGCUCUGUCGCAGGGGAAUAACACAAUGAAGGUACCCUGUAAGAAAGGAUCGGCUAACUUCGUGCCAGCAGCCGCAGUAACAC